rnacentral:rRNA from 1 species
AAGCGGUGGAGCAUGUGGUUAAUUCGACGCAACGCGAAGACUUACCAGGCUUGACAUCCCCUGACCGCGUAUGAAAGUACGUUUUCACCCUCGGGUGACAGGGAGACAGGUGGUGCAUGGUUGUCGUCAGCUCGUGUCGUGAGAUGUUGGGUUAAGUCCCGCAACGAGCGCAACCCCUACGUUUAGUUGCUAACGCGUGAAGGCGAGCACUCUAGACGAACUGCCGUUGACAAAACGGAGGAAGGUGGGGAUGACGUCAAAUCAUCAUGCCCCUUAUGUUCUGGGCUACACACGUGCUACAAUGGCCGGUACAGACGGAGGCGAAGCCGCGAGGCGGAGCAAAUCCGAAAAAGCCGGUCUCAGUUCGGAUUGCAGGCUGCAAUUCGCCUGCAUGAAGUCGGAAUCGCUAGUAAUCGCAGGUCAGCAUACUGCGGUCGAAUACGUUCCCGGGCCUU